rnacentral:rRNA from 1 species
UAAUACGGAGAGUGCAAGCGUUGUUCGGAAUUAUUGGGCUUAAAGAGCGUGUAGGCGGGAUAUCAGGUGUCGUGUGAAAGCCCCGGGCUCAACCCGGGAAUGGCAUGGCAAACCGGUAUUCUUGAGGCAGGUAGAGGUGACUGGAACGACUGGUGGAGCGGUGAAAUGCGUGGAUAUCAGUUGGAACGCCAGAGGCGAAAGCGAGUCACUGGACCUGUCCUGACGCUGAGACGCGAAAGCGUGGGGAGCAAACAGGAUUAGAUACCCUGGUAGUCCACGCCGUAAACGAUGCGCACUAGGUAUGAGAGGUUCUGACGCCGAUCGUGCCGUAGCAAAAGUGAUAAGUGCGCCGCCUGGGGAGUACGGCCGCAAGGCUA